rnacentral:rRNA from 1 species
AUGGUGUUCGUCGUCGGCUGGCGCUCAAAUGCUGUUCAGUCCGAUGCCAUAAUUCCGAGCCGUGGUUUGAUUCGGACAAGGUCUCGGUUGGCUGGUUCACCCUGCACAAUAAUCCUUGCUGGGAACCCUGCAGGUGAGCCGACAAUAGUUGGCCAAUGUGUUGGCUUCAGCUCGUGUUCGCCAAUGUUUCGAUUUAAGCACCUGGUACCUGAUUGGGUCCUCGCACGACUGGCUGGUCACUGCCGACGACAGGUCCGAUCGCCCCCCCGGCAUACAUAUUCCCCGAUCCGUCCACGGGGAGCCACGUCGGGGUUCUCGUCCACGGCCCGUCACUCGAGUUUUCGUUUGCGAGGGCAGGGGACUGCAAGUGGACCUCGCUGCCGUAGGGCUGGGUGGGACUACCGGGACUGCAUCAACGUCGACGGUCUGCUGUAUGGAUUCACAAGCUUUGCGCAGGUCCGCACGUUCGAUCUCACCGGUCCUACCGUCACGAGGAACAGAAUUAUAGACGGCAUGUUGGAGAAUUAUCUCCGUGCGCGGCUCUACCUCGUCCAGACCCCGUCCGACAGCGGAUCCGAGUCCUUCACCUCCAGAUCCGUCGACCCCAAACUCAUCCCAUGCGGCCCCGAGGAGGAGGUGGUCAUCCGGCUUGCGCUCUGCCGCGCCCGGGAGGAGGCCCAUGGACGGUUGCGCUCGGACUCCAUCCGUUGGGAAUCCAUUGCGUCCGCCCAAAUGGGGCAUGGAUCCGGCGCUAGGCCGGCCAUAGCUGCCUCGUCGGAGGCCGUGCGGUCCGUCUAG